CCCUUAGACGCUCCGGGCGGCACGCGCGCUACAUUGAAUUAUAGAGGUUGGAACACGUUCUGUAAGGAUUUGUUCACCAUAAAUUUAUUUGGAAAUGGGAUAGGCAAUUGCAAUUUUUUGUUUUUAACUUGGAAUCCCUUGUAGUCACGGUUGAGAUUAUCGUGCUGAAUACGUCCCUGCCCUUUGUACACACCGCCCGUCGCUCCUACCGAUCGAAGAGUUAGGUGAAUUGUUUUGAUCGAUAAGAUUUGACUAUGGUCAACUCUCGUUGUGAAAUUCUGUGAAUCUGACUGUUUAGAGGAAGGAAAAGUCGUAACA
rnacentral:rRNA from 1 species